UACGUAGGGGGCAAGCGUUGUCCGGAAUUAUUGGGCGUAAAGGGCGCGUAGGCGGCCUUCUAAGUCGAACGUGAAAUCCCCGGGCUCAACCCGGGAACUGCGUCCGAUACUGGAAGGCUUGAAUCCGGGAGAGGGAUGUGGAAUUCCAGGUGUAGCGGUGAAAUGCGUAGAUAUCAGGAGGAACACCGGUGGCGAAGGCGGGUCUCUGGGCCGAAACUGACGCUGAGGAGCGAAAGCGUGGGGAGCAAACAGG
rnacentral:rRNA from 1 species